UCAGUGUCCUGGAACAGCCAUAAAAACUUUUUAUCAUACAAAAACACCCCUUGAAGGCAUGAAAUGGGAUAUAAAUAUACUCCCCCCCCCAUCUUAGCCACGUUGUUCACAGAUGAGGGCUCCUUUUACAGAUGGAGAUCUCUCUGCGUAACCCUCAAAUUAUGUCUGAGUCCCUCCAAAGUGUGCUGGGUAUAGUGCUGCAUUUUCCAUAGACCUCUCUUCAGGAUUGACCCAUCUAUUAGGGGGGAAGUCCCAUGCUGAACUCCAGACAGCAUUUCUUCAAUCAAAGAAGAUGGAUGGGCAGCCUGCAGGCAACUGGCCUUUGGUCUAAUUUCAAAAGCCCCGUGAAGGGAUCAGUUUGGGCUGGCUGCUGAAUGUCAAGAGGCCUCUGUGUAAAGGCUGCCAAAUCAGAAACCUACAGAGAUAAAAACGCCAGCCUCCUCCAAGUGAAUUUGGGAUUCAGAUUCAGAUUUAAGAGUGGGAGGUGGAAAGAGUGAGAAGAUGUAACAUAUACUAGCCAGUGGAGUACUAAACAUAAAACACAAAGCCUGCAGAAAUGAGUGAUGACUAUAAGAUGCUGGCAAGUUCUCUCAAGCCCUUUAAAAACAUCCAGUGCUGAAGGAAAGAUUCCCCUGAUGAAUAAGAUAAGGCUUAAAAGUACUUGGCACUAUACCUCUCUUUAUUUAUUUGACAUAAACAAAUACUGCUUUCACGAAUUUUUGCGGUUGAAUCCUAAUGUGAACUACAUU